rnacentral:rRNA from 1 species
GAUGAACGCUGGCGGUAUGCUUAACACAUGCAAGUCGAACGGACUCUUCGGAGUUAGUGGCGGACGGGGGAGUAACGCGUGAGAAUCUGGCUUUGGGUUCGGGACAACCACUGGAAACGGUGGCUAAUACCGGAUGUGCCGAGAGGUAAAAGAGAAAUUUCCUGAAGAUGAGCUCGCGUUUGAUUAGCUAGUUGGUGAGGUAAAGGCUCACCAAGGCAGCGAUCAGUAGCUGGUCUGAGAGGAUGACCAGCCACACUGGGACUGAGACACGGCCCAGACUCCUACGGGAGGCAGCAGUGGGGAAUUUUCCGCAAUGGGCGAAAGCCUGACGGAGCAAUACCGCGUGAGGGAAGAAGGCUCUUGGGUUGUAAACCUCUUUUCUUAGGGAAGAACAAAAUGACGGUACCUAAGGAAUCAGCAUCGGCUAACUCCGUG